ACACUUACCUGGACGGGGUCAAUGGGUGAUCCAUAUAUAAGGUCCAUGUCCUAGGAUGGUAGCCUCCAUUGCACACGAAGGAGGGGUGCCUGCCUAAGGUCUUCCCUAGUGGAAGAGCCUACGUCAUUAUUUGUUGCACUGGGGGUUGCGCAAGCGUUGCCCCUG